GAUGAAGAACGCAGCGAAAUGCGAUACUUGGUGUGAAUUGCAGAAUCCCGUGAACCAUCGAGUCUUUGAACGCAAGUUGCGCCCGAAGCCAUUAGGCCGAGGGCACGCCUGCCUGGGCGUCACACGUCGUUGCCCCCCCAUCUAAUCCUUCGGGAUUGCGGGGGGCGGGUGAUGGCCUCCCGUGCGCCUCGUCGCGCGGUUGGCAUAAAUGCCAAGUCCUCGGCGACGCACGCCACGACAAUCGGUGGUUGCGAAACCUCGGUUGCCCGUCGUGUGCGGUCGUCGCGCAUCGAGGGCUCGAAAAAAUUGCCGGGCUCCGGCUCGACUUUCAACGCGACCCCAGGUCAGGCGGGGUUACCCGCUGAAUUUAAGCAUAUCAAUAAGCGGAGGA
rnacentral:misc_RNA from 1 species